GGAGGGUUGGCCGAGUGGUUUAAGGCACAGGUCUUGAAAACCUGCGUAGGGUGUAACCCUACCGUGAGUUCGAAUCUCACACCCUCCGCCU
rnacentral:tRNA from 1 species